rnacentral:lncRNA from 1 species
AAGGUCCCAGGCUUGCCAUUUGUUUUGAUAAAUGUUAACACAGAUCUUCGUGAGAUAAGCAACGGAAGUACCAGGGGAACCAGGCAAAGCGGGACAACGCUUUGGGGCGCCGGCAGCAAACAGAGCGAGGGAGUUAUCUGGAAGAGACAGCGAAAACGAAGGCAGCCGCGGUGCUCGGUCCGUCAGCCGCCCUCCCGCAAAGGGCACCGGCUACUCUGCCUUCCUGCCUUACACCCGCUCACCAAGGGCGUUGCUCUUAAGAUAGGAGCCGAUUCUCCUUCUCCCCUGUUCUGCUCCUUUGGCAAGGACCUUCUGCAGUACAAGCUGGAGAAGGCAGGUGUAGAAGAGAUGAAGACGAGCGUAGCUGAUCCAUCAAAACCAACGACUGCAGCUCAGACAGGCCCUGCACAUCUCAAACCUGUCUGUUUUAAUAGCAUCCCAAGGGGACAUAGCACAAGUUUCCAGCAGACAGAAAUGAACCACUACACAACUACCUAAAAAACCCUGAAUCCCUGAAAAAACCAAGAAAAACAAAACCGGCAGACAGAUGGAAGAGUAACUAGUGGGAGGAAGAAGAAACUGGAUCUUUAUGACCUCAAAAACCUUUAAGAGAAAUCUUGAAAUGAGAACACCUUCCCGUAUCACCAUCGAGUCACAGCCUGCCAAAUACUCCUGAAUCAGCAGCCAGAUAAUCACAGCUUACACACCUCUCUGGAUAUUCCUAGGAGAGAGAGGAUGGUUCUUCCCAAAGAAACAACCUUGGCAGGACAAUUGUGGCAGGCUCCUUGCUUGACCACCUCACACAUCGCAUCCUCCGCUUAGACAUCAGGGGAAGAGCUCCAGUAGGAUCCCAUCUCCCUUUGCACAGGGCGGCUGUGAUGCAGGAGUAAGAGCUGAGGAGUUUGGGCAGUUGCAUCAGCAUCACGAAACUACUUCUCCUGCUCCAGCUCACCUAUCCAACCUCCCCACAGUGAUCAGGGGAGACCCUUAUCAAAAACAGCCCUUCCAGUCCACUCUGACUUUUCAUUCCCACAGUCUUUGUUUGCUCUAGUAAUGCGACUUGGUACGCCUUGGCUGGCUGAUUAAUUACAAGACCUAAAAUGUUAAUAUACGAAUCAUAUUUCUCUCACAGAUAAAUGCAAAUACAAUACUGAUAUAACCUCAUGAGACAAGACUGGAAAUCUGUGUUUUGGGGUUUAAAUAAAUUUUGGUAAAUUAUCGACA